rnacentral:rRNA from 1 species
UACGUAGGGUGCAAGCGUUGUCCGGAAUUAUUGGGCGUAAAGAGCUCGUAGGCGGUUUGUCGCGUCUGCUGUGAAAACCCGAGGCUCAACCUCAGGCCUGCAGUGGGUACGGGCAGACUAGAGUGCGGUAGGGGAGAUUGGAAUUCCUGGUGUAGCGGUGGAAUGCGCAGAUAUCAGGAGGAACACCAAUGGCGAAGGCAGAUCUCUGGGCCGUAACUGACGCUGAGGAGCGAAAGCAUGGGGAGCGAACAGG